rnacentral:tRNA from 1 species
GCAGGGAUAGCCAAGUGGUCUACGGCGCUGGCUUGGAGAGCCAGUCUCCUUCGGGAGGCGAGGGUUCGAAUCCCUCUCCCUGCG